rnacentral:misc_RNA from 1 species
AGCGUGUUGAAGCGACCUCGCUUACGCAGUGGCCGCUCCCUUUUCGACACACACACACACACACACACGCACACGCACGCACGCACACGCCUCCGAAGGCCUCUUCGGCCUCCCUCUUCAUCGCGCACCUCAGUCCCGGCCUCCUGCGCCCCAGCAGUGCAGACGUGCAUGCGAGGCCACGGCAAAGAGAAACGGCAUUCGUGCCGACGCGAGCGCCGCUGAGGCCACAACGCACGGCAACGUCGACACCGCGCAAGGACUGCUGAGCAUGUCUCUCAUACUUCACAUCUCGCAAGAGAGCAGCACGGCAGGUCGCUCCUUUCACUUGGUGCAGCCGAAGCACCCUCGCCGUGCGGCUGUGCCGUCCGAGGCGGCGUCGCACCACCAUGCGACAGUCAAAGGCACGCGCAGUAUAGUAGCCACCGCCCGCCCUCCCCUUCCCAGUAGUACUGCCUCUGUCCCUUCGCCUACUCAUCCAUUGCAUAGCGUGUUGGCGGACGGUGUAUCAAAGGGUGGCGAUGCCACUGCAGCCGAUAGUGCGAGCCGUGCUCUUGCGCCUACGCAGUCGUGGCGCUCGUGGUAGCUGAACUUGGACGCUGUGCGCGCCGCUCUUCGCGGUGCCGCGAGUGGCGGUGUAGCGUUUGUGAUUCUCCUUUUCUCUUGUGCCACUCGCGCGCGCCGCAGCAUUUUUUUUCUGUGGCCAGACGUCUUUGUACUCCUUCUCUGUUUAUGCCUGCGAGGUGCUUUUUCUCCGGCCUCCCCACAUCCCGCCCCACCGCCCGUGUGCCUUUCGCAUGUUUUCGCUGGACAUGCACACGUACUUGUCUGUCUUACGCCAC